rnacentral:tRNA from 1 species
GCCUCCCUAGCUCAGUGGUAGAGCAUCCGCCUUGUAAGCGGAAGGUCGUCAGUUCAAUCCUGACGGGGGGCUC